rnacentral:rRNA from 1 species
UACGAAGGGUGCAAGCGUUACUCGGAAUUACUGGGCGUAAAGCGUGCGUAGGUGGUUCGUUAAGUCUGAUGUGAAAGCCCCGGGCUCAACCUGGGAAUGGCAUGGGAAACUGGCGAGCUGGAGUGCGGCAGAGGGGGGUGGAAUUCCGCGUGUAGCAGUGAAAUGCGUAGAGAUGCGGAGGAACACCGAUGGCGAAGGCAGCCCCCUGGGUCGACACUGACGCUCAGGCACGAAAGCGUGGGGAGCAAACAGG